GACGAACGCUGGCGGCGUGCCUAAUACAUGCAAGUCGAACGCAGUGGGGACGGGUGAGUAACACGUGGGUAACCUACCAUCAGAGGGGAUAACACGUGGAAAAAGGUGCUAAAGUGAUACUGAUGGAUGGAAACGCGGUGCAUUAGCUAGGUGGGGAGGUAACGGCUCACCAAGGCCACGAUGCAUAGCCGGCCUGAGAGGAUGAUCGGCCACACUGGAACUGAGACACGGCCCAGACUCCUACGGGAGGCAGCAGUAGUGAAUCUGCGGCAAUGGGCGAAAGUCUGACCUAGCAACGCCGCGUGAGUGAAGAAGGUUUUCGGGUCGUAAAACUCUGUUGUUGAAGAGGCGGUAUCUAACCAGAAAGCCACGGCUAACUACGUGCCAGCAGCCGCGGUAAUUC
rnacentral:rRNA from 1 species